rnacentral:rRNA from 1 species
GUCUACAACCAUACCACCUUAAGCAUGCCCAGUCUCAUCUGAAGUUAAGCAGGGUUGGGGCCUGAUUUGUACUCAGAUGGGAGACUAUAUGUAAACACACACACACACA